GUCUUCGUGGUGUAGUGGUUAGCGCGCUCAACGCGUAUUCGAGAGGUCCGUGGUUCGAGUCCCGGUGAGGGCG
rnacentral:tRNA from 1 species